AAUUACAUUUUGAUGUUUUUUUUAUAAUUAUCUUUUUGAAAUAUUGCACCUGUCCAUACAGAAUUAAAUAUUCUGUAGCCUAUUUUGCCGUCAAUACUGCCGACCUUGUCUUUGCUGUUAUCAAGUCAGUAUAUAUUUAAAUGUUUAACACGAAAUUUCAUUGUAUAAAUGGGAAA